rnacentral:rRNA from 1 species
GACGAACGCUGGCGGCGUGCUUAACACAUGCAAGUCGAACGGAAAGGCCCUGCCUUUGUGGGGUGCUCGAGUGGCGAAAGGGUGAGUAACACUUGAGUAACCUGUCCCUGACUUUGGGAUAACUUCAGGAAACUUGGGCUAAUACCGGAUAGGAGCUCCUGCUGAAUGGUGGGGGUUGGUAAGUUUCGGCGGUUGGGGAUGGACUCGCGGCUUAUCAGGUUGUUGGUGGGGUAGUGGCUUACCAAGGCUUUGACGGGUAGCCGGCCUGAGAGGGUGACCGGCCACAUUGGGACUGAGAUACGGCCCAGACUCCUACGGGAGGCAGCAGUGGGGAAUAUUGCACAAUGGGCGGAAGCCUGAUGCAGCAACGCCGCGUGCGGGAUGACGGCCUUCGGGUUGUAAACCGCUUUCGCCUGUGACGAAGCGUGAGUGACGGUAAUGGGUAAAGAAGCACCGGCUAACUACGUG